AGAGUGAACGCUGGCGGCAGGCCUAACACAUGCAAGUCGAACGGCAGCACAGAGGAGCUUGCUCCUUGGGUGGCGAGUGGCGGACGGGUGAGGAAUACAUCGGAAUCUGCCUUAUCGUGGGGGAUAACGUAGGGAAACUUACGCUAAUACCGCAUACGACCUACGGGUGAAAGCGGAGGACCUUCGGGCUUCGCGCGAUAAGAUGGGCCGAUGUCGGAUUAGCUAGUUGGCGGGUAAAGGCCCACCAAGGCUACGAUCCGUAGCUGGUCUGAGAGGAUGAUCAGCCACACUGGAACUGAGACACGGUCCAGACUCCGUACGGGAGGCAGCGAGUGGGGAAUAGUUGGACAAGUGGGCGCGAAGCCUGAUCCAGCCAGUGCCGCGUGUGUAGAAGAACGGCCUUACGGGUUAGUAAG
rnacentral:rRNA from 1 species